CAUAGACACUGUUUCUAAGCGUUGUUGAAGUGACGGCUCCAGCCGAGCCGGUCAUGGAUGAAAAACCGAUUUUGUCCCUGCUUCCUCUCUGUUGCCCGACACCUGUCUACCGUCUCAAAACUCCCGCUUCUUUCUUCUCGACACCUGUCUGCUGCUCAGUGCUUUCGUGUCUUCGCUACUUCGCUGCACAGACAGGUGGAGAAAGAGAGAGAGAUAGCGAAGGAGGUGGUACUGUUUGUUGGCAUCUACAAUUCGGAUUCGAUCUUCCCUGUGUAAAUCUGGAAGUCUCUAUCUACACGGAGAGAGGUGUCUAUCUACAGUAAUAUUUGCUAAGCCAGAUUAUCGGGUUUACUGAUCGAUCAAAGCUGGAUAGAGUUUGGGUUCUUCUUGAUAACGUUCAGUCUUCCAGAUUAUCAGAAAAAGAGAGGGAGAAGAGGACGGGGGAAGAAGGAAAAGAAGUAGAAGAGAGAGACCAGAAACUUUAGCUUGCUUGCCUGAGAGAAAACAAGUGGAAAGUAUUUUUUUAAUCUUGAAUUUUCUGAUUGAAAUUGUUUCUGGGUUUGAUUGUAGUGUGUUUCAAACAAGGAAAAGUAAAGUUUUUGUACUUUGUUUGCUUUUGAUUGUUCACUUUUGAUAUGUGAAUUGGGGUUUGAUUUAUUGUUUUCUGAUCAGCAUCUUUUGUCAUUUCGAUUUUGUGAUUGCUUUUUGAUGUAAUUUUUGUUGCAUCUUUUAGAUAAGUUUCUUUACGAUCAGUUCGUUAUAGUUUGAAAAAGAGUGAGAGGAUUUCUGAGUAUUUGAUUUCUCUGAAUGAAAUUUGGUUUAUGGUGUUUAAUUGAACUGAUUUACAGAAAGUGCUGGAUUAUUCAGUUUUGUUUUGCUGGUCAGGAAGCUGGAUAAGCAACAUGUCCACUACUUUUCCGUUUCUGGAAGCCUCCAUCAACAUCACCCUUUUCUCUUGCCGACAUCAGGAUUACCCAUCAACAUCAGCACUGAUCAAAACUUGCACAGAGCAUUACAUGUUCAUGGUCUUGGCUGGGUGGAUCUAUAAUUAUACGACAUCAAAGAAGAGAAAGUGACCCCUUGAUAUAUGCUGGUCCAAUUUAAAGUUAUGAGGUUGUCUUUUUGAAGCGGUUUUCUUCUACCAUACCUUUGAUCACUGGUUAUUUUUGUUUAUGAGAGGAUAAGUGCUUAUCAUUCACCAAUUGCAAGAGUGGGUUUUUAUUUGCAUUUGAGGAUUUUCGGCAACAUUACUUGCAACCGAUUUGCGGGU